UUGGAGAUCCUUAGGGGGAGAACUUCAAACCUGCAACAGCAUUCAUUCAAUGAGGCUUGAUGAACCCCAGAAGGAGGAGCAAUGAUGCUGAGGUGUUUCAGAGAUUGAUAAGCAAGCUGUCGGAGAAUGAAGGGCCACCAUCUUCUGAGUUUGUUGUGUGAUGAGGACUAGAGCAAGGGUUUCUUGGAUUUUCUUCACUGUGUAUCUGAAGGUCAGAGGGCAGCUUGCAGGAGGCAGAUGUCUCCUUCCUGCACCUGUAACGGAACUCAGGUCAUCAGACUUUGCAGUAAGCAGAUUGACCCAUGAGCC
rnacentral:lncRNA from 1 species